rnacentral:rRNA from 1 species
AACGUAGGAGACAACCGUUAUCCGGAGUUACUGGGCGUAAAGGGCGUGUAGGCGGUUAGUUAAGUCUGGCGUGAAAGCUCUCGGCUAAACCGGGGAACUGCGUCUGAUACUGGAUGGCUUGAGGUUGGGAGAGGGAUGCGGAAUUCCAGGUGUAGCGGUGAAAUGCGUAGAUAUCUGGAGGAACACCGGUGGCGAAGGCGGCAUCCUGGACCAAUUCUGACGCUGAGGAGCGAAAGCCAGGGGAGCAAACGGG